GGGAGAGGUGGUUUUCCCACAGAGGGUUUUCAUUGUGAAGGCCGAGGCCGCCAGGUUAUCGCGCGAGGUGCUGGUGUAGAGCGCGCGUCGAGCUGAUUGGCCCAGGCGCGAUUAUAGAAUACCUUGCUCCAUGAGGAAAAUCUCAGGGAAGACUAAACAAUGUAAGACAUAGACAAAUGACCCAGAGCAAACUGUGAAUACCAGAACAUUACACUUUAUGAGCACAGCACCGUGUCCCACCCCUGGCCCUGGCUGCAUGCACUUACCCGCUUAACUGCCAGUGUGGCGAUGCCCAGCAUGGCCGCUCCACCCACCCCCAGCACAAGCCGGGCAUUGGAGAGCACAAAGUCAAUGGCUGUGCCAAUGCCAUUGUCAUCCUUCUUGCCUUUGCGCUCACCAGCGCCUGCCAUUGCUCAUCUGAGAAUGAAGAUAGAACACGGCCGUCACGCCUUCAUCCUUUGGCCACUACUUUGUGGAAGGUUAGAGCUGAGCAGGGCGGAGCUCAUCUGACACCAUCACAGCACCUCAAACAUAGGGAGGUGAUGUGCCAGGUCUCAGCGUAAUGAACUGGUACAAUCGCCAGGUGCAGUGUGGCUAGCACCUAUCAUCUUAGCUACUUGGAGGCAGAGGUGGGAAGAUCGCUUGCAGCCAGAAGUUCAAGACCAACCUGAGCAACAUGGCAAGACCUCCAUCUCCAAAAGUAAAAGAUAAAAAUAAAGAGCGUGCUGGGGCAUGCCUGUGGUCCCAUCUACCUAAAAGGUUGAGGCAGGGGAAUUGCUUGAGCCCAGGAGUUUGAGGCUACAGUGAGCUAUGAUCAUGCCACUGCACUCCAGCCUCAGUGAUAAAGCGAGACCCUGUAUCUUAAAAAUAAAAAUAAAAAGCGAAAUGACACAGUCAUCUCCAGAACUCAGGAAUCCCCGCUCCUUGUAUGCUUUUUUUUUUUUUAAAGAGAUGGGGUUUCUCCAUGUUGGCCAGGCUGCUCUUGAACUCCUGACCUCAGGUGAUCCGGCUACCUUGGCCUCCCAAAGUGCUGGGAUUACACGCGUGAGCCACCACACCCGGCGUAUGAUGCUUUUUCUACCAUACCACCCUCACCCUUACCCAAAUCAAAUCAGCCCUUAUUCUAGGUACUUUCUGCAAAUGAAACACAAAACAUGUACCAAACACCCAGCACAUGGAACUGUAACUACAAGUCCAUAUGUGAGAAAUGAACCCUCCGUGGACUCUCCUGCUUGACAAAUGGUUUGUUGCUGGAGAGAACUGUGCAGUGGGGACUAUAUAAGCUUAGGUAACGCUGGCAUACUGGGAGAUCAAAAGCACAAAGGACACUGCAGACUCGGCUGCUAACUGGGAAACAAAACACCCAUCUGCUCCAUCAC